UACGUAGGGUGCGAGCGUUAAUCGGAAUUACUGGGCGUAAAGAGUGCGUAGGCGGAUAUACAAGUUAGAUGUGAAAUACCUGGGCUUAACCUGGGAGGUGCAUUUAAAACUGUACAUCUAGAGUUUGUCAGAGGGGGGUAGAAUUCCAAGUGUAGCAGUGAAAUGCGUAGAGAUUUGGAGGAAUACCGAUGGCGUAGGCAGCCCCCUGGGAUAAAACUGACGCUGAGGCCCGAAAGCGUGGGUAGCACACAGG
rnacentral:rRNA from 1 species